rnacentral:rRNA from 2 species
CCGUACACAAAAGCGCAUGUGCUGUGAGCUCGAUGAGUAGGGCGGGACACGUGGUAUCCUGUCUGAAUAUGGGGGGACCAUCCUCCAAGGCUAAAUACUCCUGACUGACCGAUAGUGAACCAGUACCGUGAGGGAAAGGCGAAAAGAACCCCGGCGAGGGGAGUGAAAAAGAACCUGAAACCGUGUACGUACAAGCAGUGGGAGCACAGGUUUACCUGUGUGACUGCGUACCUUUUGUAUAAUGGGUCAGCGACUUAUAUUCUGUAGCAAGGUUAACCGUAUAGGGGAGCCGGAGGGAAACCGAGUCUUAAUUGGGCGUUAAGUUGCAGGGUAUAGACCCGAAACCCGGUGAUCUAGCCAUGGGCAGGUUGAAGGUUGGGUAACACUAACUGGAGGACCGAACCGACUAAUGUUGAAAAAUUAGCGGAUGACCUGUGGCUGGGGGUGAAAGGCCAAUCAAACCGGGAGAUAGCUGGUUCUCCCCGAAAGCUAUUUAGGUAGCGCCUCGUGAAUUCAUCUCCGGGGGUAGAGCACUGUUUCGGCUAGGGGGCCAUCCCGGCUUACCAACCCGAUGCAAACUGCGAAUACCGGAGAAUGUUAUCACGGGAGACACACGGCGGGUGCUAACGUCCGUCGUGAAGAGGGAAACAACCCAGACCGCCAGCUAAGGUCCCAAAGUCAUGGUUAAGUGGGAAACGAUGUGGGAAGGCCCAGACAGCCAGGAUGUUGGCUUAGAAGCAGCCAUCAUUUAAAGAAAGCGUAAUAGCUCACUGGUCGAGUCGGCCUGCGCGGAAGAUGUAACGGGGCUAAACCAUGCACCGAAGCUGCGGCAGCGAACGUAUCACCCAAGACAACUUUACGGAGUUGACGAUUGACGGAGCGAAGCGACGUCAAAGCGUUCAUUAAAGUCGAGUUGGCUUAGGGAUACGUUCGUUGGGUAGGGGAGCGUUCUGUAAGCCUGUGAAGGUGUGUCGUGAGGCAUGCUGGAGGUAUCAGAAGUGCGAAUGCUGACAUAAGUAACGAUAAAGCGGGUGAAAAGCCCGCUCGCCGGAAGACCAAGGGUUCCUGUCCAACGUUAAUCGGGGCAGGGUGAGUCGACCCCUAAGGCGAGGCCGAAAGGCGUAGUCGAUGGGAAACGGGUUAAUAUUCCCGUACUUGGUGUUACUGCGAAGGGGGGACGGAGAAGGCUAUGUUGGCCGGGCGACGGUUGUCCCGGUUUAAGCGUGUAGGUGUGUGUUCCAGGUAAAUCCGGUUCACUUUAACACUGAGGCGUGACGACGAGGCACUACGGUGCUGAAGCAACAAAUGCCCUGCUUCCA